UACAGGGGCCCCAAGCGUUAAUCGGAAUUACUGGGCUUAAAGGGCGCGUAGGCGGCCCGGUAAGUCAAAGGUGAAAUCCCUCGGCUCAACUGAGGAACUGCCUUUGAAACUGUCGGGCUUGAGGCCGGGAGGGGGUGGCGGAAUUCCCAGUGUAGCGGUGAAAUGCGUAGAUAUUGGGAGGAACACCAGUGGCGAAGGCGGCCACCUGGACCGGUUCUGACGCUGAUGCGCGAAAGCGUGGGUAGCAAACAGG
rnacentral:rRNA from 1 species